rnacentral:rRNA from 1 species
GAUGAACGCUGGCGGCGUGCCUAAUACAUGCAAGUCGAGCGAACAGAUGAGGAGCUUGCUCCUCUGACGUUAGCGGCGGACGGGUGAGUAACACGUGGAUAACCUACCUAUAAGACUGGGAUAACUUCGGGAAACCGGAGCUAAUACCGGAUAAUAUAUUGAACCGCAUGGUUCAAUAGUGAAAGACGGUUUUGCUGUCACUUAUAGAUGGAUCCGCGCCGCAUUAGCUAGUUGGUAAGGUAACGGCUUACCAAGGCAACGAUGCGUAGCCGACCUGAGAGGGUGAUCGGCCACACUAGAACUGAGACACGGACCAGACCCCUAAGAGAGGCAGCAGUAGGGAAUCUUCCGCAAUGGGCGAAAGCCUGACGGAGCAACGCCGCGUGAGUGAUGAAGGUCUUCGGAUCGUAAAACUCUGUUAUUAGGGAAGAACAAAUGUGUAAGUAACUAUGCACGUCUUGACGGUACCUAAUCAGAAAGCCACGGCUAACUACGUG